rnacentral:rRNA from 1 species
UGGGUAACCUGCCCAAGAGAUCGGGAUAACACCUGGAAACAGAUGCUAAUACCGGAUAACAACAGAUGAUGCCUAUCAACUGUUUAAAAGAUGGUUCUGCUAUCACUCUUGGAUGGACCUGCGGUGCAUUAGCUAGUUGGUAGGGUAACGGCCUACCAAGGCGAUGAUGCGUAGCCGAGUUUAGAGACUGAUCGGCCACAUUGGGACUGAGACACGGCCCAAACUCCUACGGGAGGCAGCAGCA